rfam:Pediococcus stilesii strain DSM 18001 Scaffold20, whole genome shotgun sequence.
AUCGAAAGAAGAGGUUGCCUCAAUUAUGAUUAGGUUCGGUUAGAUGACUAAGCAUCAAUGAUCCGAAUUAAAAGGAAGCGAGGCCGAAAUGAUUACAUGCUUAUUCAUGUAUGAUUUGGGCCCUGGUUGAAUAAACUAGGGACUGUCGCAAUGGAAAUUGCGGAGCGCUAUCUACGAU